rnacentral:rRNA from 1 species
CAGUCGCCACGGUAAUACGAAGGGGGCUAGCGUUGUUCGGAUUUACUGGGCGUAAAGGGUGCGUAGGCGGAUUGUUAAGUCAGGGGUGAAAUCCCGAGGCUCAACCUCGGAACUGCCUUUGAUACUGGCGAUCUUGAGUCCGGGAGAGGUGAGUGGAACUGCGAGUGUAGAGGUGAAUUCGUAGAUAUUCGCAAGAACACCGGUGGCGAAGGCGGCUCACUGGCCCGGUACUGACGCUGAGGCACGAAAGCGUGGGGAGCAAACAGGAUUAGAUACCCCCGUAGUCCCUGUCUCUUAUAAC